GGAUAUCUUUUUUAAAUUAUCCUCUGGCCUUAAUUAGUUAUUGAUUUUGUGUCUUUCCCUCAGUCUUAAUUAUGGAGCUUCAGUGGAUUUCUCUGUAGAGGAAGUGGUGUAAUGAGGACAGAUAAGAUAUGUCUUAAUGCUGAGAGGGUGGGGAAAAAAAAUUCUGAUUGUAUUUAAUGAGAUAAUAAAAUGUGACCACAGCAAAUGAGAAAGAACAGAGCAGAUCAUUUAACACCUCCUGAGAACAUGAAGAGCAGCUCUGUGACUUUUUGCUUGGGCCUCGUCAUCAUCAUGGCACUUUACUCUAGUGCAAUCCCUCAUAGCUUUGAUACCAGACCAUGCUGUUUCAAUUUCCAAGAAAAAAUAAUUAAUCCUAAAGGAAUCCUGAAAGUGAUGAAGACAGACUCACGCUGUUCAAAGCAAGGCUUCAUUGUUAAAAUGCUUAAGAGGGAUGUGUGUGUCCUGGAAAACCCCCAAAAAUAAAUGAAAACUACUAAAAUCGAAUCAAUCGAAUCGAACAAACUUUAUUAAUGGAACAAACUGUUGAUGCGUAAUGAAUAAAAAUGCAAUAAUGAUAUAACAAUUUUAUAAAAUGAAACUGUAUUAA